CAUCUAUCUUCCCACACUCUUAUUUUCUUUCCAUCUCCCACUAUCCAUUUGAUUCCUUCCUGGAGGAUUACUCUUGAUUGCAGUAUGCUCCGCCAUGCAUAACUUGACGUGUUAUAGAUAGGAGCCUGCAAAAAUUCAGUGUGCCUAAAAUAUUUAGCUUUCAACACUCUCGUCAAUAAAGAGGAUGGAUUCCUUAGGAUUCUCCAGCCUUGCUUGGCUAGCGGAGCUAAAUUAAAUAUUUCCAAAUCUCUGAUCCCUAAGCCCCCCUCCUGUUUUGAUGCAGUAAUCUUCUUCCAACUAACCCAAGGUAUUUUUUGCCUAUCUUUCUGUCCCGACCACCAAAAGUUCCUCAUACAAGCCGUAAUUUCUUUUAUUAACCCUUUUGGAAGAAGAAAACAGGUCAUUGUGUAAGUUGGUAAAGCCGUUAUUACUGCCUUCAGUAAGACUUCCCUCCCUGCCGGAGUGAGGAACCUAUUAUACCAACUAUCAAGCUUAUUUCUAAUUCUUUGCUUAAUGUACUCCAAGGCAUCUUUUCUCUUACGACCUAUUUUCUCAGGGAGGCCUAAGUAUUUCCCAAAACCUCCUAUCCUUGUUAUACCUGUCAUCUUAAUGAGAUUAUCUUGAAUAUUUUGAGAAAUACCUUUGGCAAAAGUUAUAGCAGAUUUGUUAAAAUUGACAGCUUGUCCUGAGGCUCUCUGAUACUCUCUAAGCGUGUUCAUUAGGGUCUGGCAUUCUUCCUCUGUUGCUCUACAAAAUACUAAAGAGUCAUCAGCAAAGAAUAAGUGGGAGAUUGAUGGACCUCCUCUUGAUGCUUUAUAUCCAUGUAAAAGGUGCAAUCUAAUAUUGUUCUUGAUUAACGCAGAUAAUCCCCCAGUACAUAUAAUGUAAAGAUAAGGUGAAAUAGGGUCACCUUGUCUUAUUCCUCUAGUUGGCGUGAUGGGCUUUGAGGGCUCUCCGUUCACAAGAACUGAAAAUGUAACAGUUGACACGCAUGUGUGGAUCCAUUUGCACCAAGUUUCGCAGAAGCCCAUCUGCUUCAUUACUGCAAUAAUAAAUCCCCAUUCAACUUUAUCAAAUGCUUUUGAGAUGUCAAGCUUAAGGGCCAUAUAUUUUGUUUUCAGAUUUUUUGUAUGCAGGGAAUGCAUCAGCUCAUGUGCUAUGAGCACGUUAUCAGUGAUCAAUCUACCAGGGAUAAAAGCCGAUUGAUUCUCCGUAAUAACACUGUUUAACCAAGUAUUAGGAGAAUCAAUCUUUGGUAUAAGGCAUAUAUGAGUGUGGUUUAUCCUCGGAUCUAAUUGACCUUGAGAAAAGAAAUACUUAACAUGAGAGAUCACACCUUGUUUAAUGGUUUCCCAAUGAUGUCUGAAGAAUCCUGCAUUCAUUCCAUCCGGCCCUGGUGAUUUGUCGGGAUUGAUAGCGUGAGCAGCAUCCUCUAUCUCCUUGUCUGUAACUUCUUGGGUUAACUUGUCGUUGAUCUCAGCUGUAAUGGUGGUUGGAAUUCCAUUUAGCAGGUGUUGACUGAUACUGAUUCCUUCACUUCUAUAUAGGUCCUGAAAAUAUUUCUGAAUUUGAGAAUGAACAUCCUUAAUCUCUGUGUAUAUUUUACCUUCUUCAUCAGAGAUGUGAAUGAUCCUGUUGUAACUUCUUCUUUGCUUGGUUUUUGAGUGAAAGAACCUGGUAUUGCGGUCACCUGCUUGAAGCCACUGGAUUCUGCUCUUCGUUCUCCAGUAUUCCUCUUCUAAACGGUACUGCAAGCUUAGCUCAGCCUUCAACAUGUUAAUAUAGAGCUUUUCUACAAUUAACUAACACUUUGUAAAAAAGCUGAGGAGGCAAACUAACACAUUCACUUUGCCACACUUCCUGAAUUAUCUUCUUAACCCCAGGAAGUAGUCUUGGAAAUUUUAGAUCUGCAUUUUCGGAUAUAAAUGAGGAGCCAGCCUGGGUUUAACAGAUGCGACUAGAGGCUUGGCCAUAAACAAGUUGCUCUCAGCUGAGACGAGCUCUAUUUGGCUUGUACCUGGAGGAAGAGUCCAUUCGAACCCCUGGAGAAGCCUGGCUAAUAACAUAAUGGUCAUAGAUGCCCCAAUCUUAGUUCCUGGGCAGGCACGCCGGCCAGUGCUAAAUAUCACGAACCUCAUAUCCGGUUCCAUCAGAGUCACUCCCACUGAGUCUCGUUCAUAAAGAUGUCUUUCUGGCUUGAAUGCCUCAGGCUGGUCCCAUAUCUUAGGGUUCCGACCAAGUCCUAGACGGCUCACAAAAAUUUGGCUGCCUGUCAUUGCAAUUAAACACAUAUCAAACGUCCAGGUCAUAUUAUUUUAUAUUGUAUCCUGGUAGAACACUUAAUGUCAUACGCAGGGGAGAAGCUACUUCAUUAUCUAUGCAAUUGCACCCACUAUAUAUUGUUUUAAUUGUUUUAUAAAACGACAAUUUGUAAGUUACUGAAACUCAGGCAAAAUUCAUCUAUAUACCUAUUGUUUUUUUUA